GCCCCGCCUCGGGACAAGCUCACGAACAGGGGUGAGGUGCGUGGUCAACUCACAGUUCCCGCGCCUACGGCUCGUCAUCCCCUCGCUUACGCCUCUCCAUACCCGAGUACGUCUCUUCGUCCAUGCUUGUCCCUCUCACCCCUCCUGUGGCCUCCCUGCUGUAAGCCGUAGCCUAGUCGACGUACUGGAGCUGCUUUUACAUUAAGUUGACGCCUGGUUGACGGCGAGGCGAAAGGCGAUACGGUGACGAUCCCUUUCCGAGUUGAUAUGUGUGCUAUGACCAUAAUUAACAUCCAUAAAGACAA